GUGAAAAGCUGUCACUACAUUUUAUGUAUCACUACACCAAAAUGAUCCAUUUUCAAACUGAAAGCAGACUGAAAUAGCAAAAGCUACAGCUAUGCCUGUAUUGUCUGGGGUUACACCAGGGGUUACGUUAGCUUACUUAACCAACUGUCACAGAGGCGGCAACUUAUAAACACACACUCUGCUCUGUCAGCCUCUUGCUUGUUUAUUAAGCAUGUGUUUGUGUUUUUUUUGUUUUAUCUCCAUAGCAACGAAACAAAUGACAUCUGGGACACUAACAGUUCUCUGGAUAGCCCCAUCGACUGCUUCGGAUUUCCAAACAUUGGGCAGACCUGUUGUAUGAACGCAAGCCUGCAGAGUCUCCUAACAUUAGAAGACUUCACUGGGACCAUCAGCCGCAUGGAGCAGAAGCUUGAUGGAUGUUAGGGACGUUCAUUUGUUCAAAGACACUCAAGUUAAAAUCCCCCUCCUGGAGUCCUUUAAGAAUGUGGUCUCUGCCCAGGCACCUGAGUGCAAAAGGAUGCUCAUGAGUUCCUGACUGCAGUCCUGGAACAGAUGAGAGGUCUGGCCUCUCUACUGCAGGAGACAGCAGCUUUCAUGGGCACACAUUAUACCUGCCCUGUAGAGGAUCACCUGGUGAUCACAAUGGAGAACACCAGGACAUGCAAAAAGCUGUGGAGCACAGUCAGUGAGACAGGAGGAAUCCACAAACCUGUCUCUAGACCUCAUCCCUGGAGGCUCUGUGGAGGAGAUGCUCCAGGAGUACCUUAAGGAGACGGAGGUGGAGUUCAGGUGUGACUGCGGAGGGAACACAUCGAGCUGCAGAUCAUCCCUCCUCACUCUGCCACAAGUGCUCAUCCUGCAGCUGAAGAGAUUUCGCUACUCUCCCUUCUUUGAGCUUGAAAAGGUUGAUGACCCUGUCAGGCUGAUAAAGGACAUUGCCAGUCUCCUCCACACAGGAUGGAGGCUGCUACAGCUUGGUCAGUGCCAUCAGCCAUUUUGGCUCCACAGAAAGGGGACACUACAUCAGCAAAGGCAUCCACCCAGACUACAAUCCAGACGAACCAGAUGAUCAGUGGCUCACCUACAAUGAUUCAAUGGUCUUUGAGACGUCCGGCAAGUUAGUCUGUGAGCAGCGGGAGAGGGGUGCUUACAUCCUGUUCUACAAGAGAAUAGUGUAACCCAACUGACGACCUGAUGUCACACUAAGAGACCUGGAUACACCACACAGAGACAGGAUGACCAUCAUGGAGCCAGGAGACCCGAUGUGGGACAAGGAAGGUAAGUGAGUUACUAAACUUGUCUGUGUUCUUGGUGUAGUUGUUCAACGUGACGGUGGACAACAGAUGACCAGGAAAGACGACUGGAGGAUGAAUGAAGAAGAUGUCCCGUGGCCAGGAGCAGCUGACGGUUCCCUUGCCCUUAGGAGGAUGGGCCCCCCCAGAGAGCCUGGUUCCUCCCAAGGUUUCUUCCUCUUGUGGGGAGUUUUUCCUUGCCACUGUCGCCUCAAAGUCGCUGGACAGCAGGACAGACCCAACUCAUCUCCUCAGCAUUGACACCGCAGUUGUAGAGAUGGUCCUGCAUUGUCCCAGAGUAUGGCUUGCUCUCUGGGGUGAACUACAAAAAGAAAUUCAAAGAAAAUAAAUACUAUUGGACUUUAAGAUUUUGUUGGUUGUAUUUUAAUGUAUUUGUCAGUGGGGGUUUUUAUAGCUCCAUAA